rnacentral:rRNA from 1 species
AGUGAACGCUGGCGGUAGGCCUAACACAUGCAAGUCGAACGGCAGCACAGUAAGAGCUUGCUCUUACGGGUGGCGAGUGGCGGACGGGUGAGGAAUACAUCGGAAUCUACUUUUUCGUGGGGGAUAACGUAGGGAAACUUACGCUAAUACCGCAUACGACCUACGGGUGAAAGCAGGGGAUCUUCGGACCUUGCGCGAUUGAAUGCGCCGAUGUCGGAUUAGCUAGUUGGCGGGGUAAAGGCCCACCAAGGCGACGAUCCGUAGCUGGUCUGAGAGGAUGAUCAGCCACACUGGAACUGAGACACGGUCCAGACUCCUACGGGAGGCAGCAGUGGGGAAUAUUGGACAAUGGGCGAAAGCCUGAUCCAGCCAUACCGCGUGGGUGAAGAAGGUCUUCGGGUUGUAAAGCACUUUUGUUGGGAAAGAAAAGCAGCAGGUUAAUACCCCGCUGUUCUGACGGUACCAAAAGAAUAAGCACCGGCUAACUUCGUG